AUGGUGCUGCAGCUUUCUUUGCAAGUGCGUUGUCGAUUGUCCUUCGUAAGAACAAGUUCACCAAUGCUUGUACGCCUUCAUAACCUUCACUAAGACCUCUUUAGAAACUCUUCCUCAAAAGAUUACACCACACAAAAAUUAAAUCAAAUGUUCAAUACUAGAACAUACUGAUUUCAGGACAAGCAUCUCAUGCUUUCCUUUUUUUCAUUCUCCCU
rnacentral:lncRNA from 1 species